UCUGCAGAGCUGCUCUAACCCAAUAAUAAAAUUGGACAAUAAGCUGCAUAUCUGCCGGAAACCUGGGACUGGCAAUGGAGAUGAGAAGAGAAUCAGAAGGGCCCCGGUGUGCGUUCUCAGCAAACUAUCGCAAGAACAAAAAACCAAACAUCACAUGUUCUCACUCACAGGUGGGAAUUGAACGAUGAGAACACCUGGACUCGGGA
rnacentral:lncRNA from 1 species